AACGAACGCUGGCGGCAGGCCUAACACAUGCAAGUCGAACGCCCUAGCAAUAGGGAGUGGCAGACGGGUGAGUAACGCGUGGGAACCUUCCCAGUGGUACGGAAUAGCCCAGGGAAACUUGGAGUAAUACCGUAUACGCCCGAAAGGGGAAGGAUUUAUCGCCAUUGGAUGGGCCCGCGUCGGAUUAGCUAGUUGGUGAGGUAACGGCUCACCAAGGCGACGAUCCGUAGCUGGUCUGAGAGGAUGAUCAGCCACACUGGGACUGAGACACGGCCCAGACUCCUACGGGAGGCAGCAGUGGGGAAUAUUGGACAAUGGGCGCAAGCCUGAUCCAGCCAUGCCGCGUGAGUGACGAAGGCCUUAGGGUUGUAAAGCUCUUUUGUCGGGGACGAUAAUGACGGUACCCGAAGAAUAAGCUCCGGCUAACUUCGUGCCAGCCACCGCCGUAAAAC
rnacentral:rRNA from 1 species